rnacentral:rRNA from 1 species
UCCUACGGGAGGCAGCAGUGGGGAAUAUUGCGCAAUGGGGGAAACCCUGACGCAGCGACGCCGCGUGGAUGAUGAAGGCCCUUGGGUUGUAAAAUCCUGUUCUGGGGGAAGAAAGCUUAAGAGUCCAAUAAACUUUUAAGCCUGACGGUACCCCAAGAGAAAGCUCCGGCUAAUUAUGUGCCAGCAGCCGCGGUAAUGCGGAGGAGGCAAGCGUUGUCCGGAAUCACUGGGCGUAAAGGGUGUGUAGGUGUCCUGAUGGGUCAAGUGUGAAAUCCAACAGCUUAACUGUUGAAGUGCAUCUGAAACUAUCGGGAUUGAGGACAUGAGGGGAGAGCGGAACUCGCGGUGUAGCGGUAGAAUGCGUGGAUAUCGCGAGGAAUACCGAUGGCGAAGGCGGCUCUCUAGUAUGUUUCU